rnacentral:rRNA from 1 species
UCAUAUGCUUGUCUCAAAGAUUAAGCCAUGCAUGUCUAAGUACUAGCCACUUGACGGUGAAACCGCGAAUGGCUCAUUAAAUCAGUUAUGGUUCCUUAGAUCGUACCAUCCUACUUGGAUAACUGUGGUAAUUCUAGAGCUAAUACAUGCCGAUCAGCUCUGACCUUCGGGGACGAGCGCAUUUAUUAGAACAAGACCAAUACGGGCCGGCAACGGUCCGUUCCCGUUUGGUGACUCUGAAUAACCUUGAGCCGAUCGCACGGUCUCGCACCGGCGACGCAUCUUUCAAAUGUCUGCCUUAUCAACUGUCGACGGUAGGUUAUGGGCCUACCAUGGUAGUAACGGGUAACGGGGAAUCAGGGUUCGAUUCCGGAGAGGGAGCCUGAGAAACGGCUACCACAUCCAAGGAAGGCAGCAGGCACGCAAAUUACCCACUCCCGGCACGGGGAGGUAGUGACGAAAAAUAACAAUGCGGGACUCUUCCGAGGCCCCGUAAUUGGAAUGAGUACACUUUAAAUCCUUUAACGAGGACCUAUUGGAGGGCAAGUCUGGUGCCAGCAGCCGCGGUAAUUCCAGCUCCAAUAGCGUAUAUUAAAGUUGUUGCGGUUAAAAAGCUCGUAGUUGGAUCUCGGUGCCGGACCGGCGGUCCGCUUCGCCGCGGUAUUACUGCCGGCCCCGGAGCCAUCACGCCGGCCGUCCCUAGGUGCUCUUCACUGAGUGUCUUGGGUGACCGGAACGUUUACUUUGAACAAAUUAGAGUGCUCCAAGCAGGCGUGUUUCGCCCGCAUACCUCAGCAUGGAAUAAUGGAAUAGGACCUCGGUUCUAUUGCGUUGGUUUUCGGAACCCGAGGUAAUGAUUAAUAGGGACAGGCGGGGGCAUUCGUAUUGCGACGCUAGAGGUGAAAUUCUUGGACCGUCGCAAGACGAACAACUGCGAAAGCAUUUGCCAAGAAUGUUUUCAUUAAUCAAGAACGAAAGUUAGAGGUUCGAAGGCGAUCAGAUACCGCCCUAGUUCUAACCAUAAACGAUGCCAACCAGCGAUCCGCCAAAGUUCCUCCGAUGACUCGGCGGGCAGCUUCCGGGAAACCAAAGUUUUUGGGCUCCGGGGGAAGUAUGGUUGCAAAGCUGAAACUUAAAGGAAUUGACGGAAGGGCACCACCAGGAGUGGAGCCUGCGGCUUAAUUCGACUCAACACGGGAAAACUCACCCGGCCCGGACACUGGAAGGAUUGACAGAUUGAGAGCUCUUUCUUGAUUCGGUGGGUGGUGGUGCAUGGCCGUUCUUAGUUGGUGGAGCGAUUUGUCUGGUUAAUUCCGAUAACGAACAAGACUCAAACCUACUAACUAGACGAUCGAUUUAGGCGAGCUGUUUCCUGCCCCUUGGGGUUUGGAGCGGCACUUGUCUCCGUCGGUCGACAACUUCUUAGAGGAACAAGCGGCGCUCAGCCGCACGAGAUUGAGCAAUAACAGGUCUGUGAUGCCCUUAGAUGUCCGGGGCCGCACGCGCGCUACACUGAAGGAAUCAGCGUGUGUCCUUCCCUGGUCCGGCAGGACGGGGUAACCAGCUGAACCUCCUUCGUGGUAGGGAUCGGGGUUUGCAAUUGUUCCCCGUGAACGAGGAAUUCCUAGUAAGCGCGAGUCAUAAGCUCGCGUUGACUACGUCCCUGCCCUUUGUACACACCGCCCGUCGCUACUACCGAUUGAAUGAUUUAGUGAGGUCUUCGGACUGGCAGUCGCGGCGGCCUUCCAAGGUCGCGGCAACGCGUCGGGAAGAUGACCGAACUGACCAUUUAGAGGAAGUAAAAGUCGUAACAAGGUUUCC